ensembl:lncRNA
AUGGCAGUUCAAGAUGAAAACAUGGAUUUUCAGAUACGAGGGUACUGGUUACCGUUUCUGCCAUAUGUUUCUGCAUUCUUGAUCCACAUCCAUCUGGCUCAGAAAUCUGUCAGGAGAUGUACAGAACAACACUGAAUCUGAAUCCCUCCAGUGUUGCAGAAGGAGAAUUGGAGUUUAACCUAUACGAAGCCAGAGACUUGCAUUUCAUCUUCCACCAAAGCUAGAGGAGACUUACAUUUCAGCUUCCCACCCAAAUGUUUCUACAGAAUUUUGCCCCAAGAAAACAGCAGUCUGGUGGGGAUGCUUUAAUUUGGGCACUAUGUCUGAAAAUCUGAUUGAUAGAUGGAUAGAAGCUUGAAGAAUACAUCAUGAUGAAAUUCCAGUUUUGAUGCAGAGGUGGAAUAUGUAUAAUCUUAUUUCUCCAGCUAAUUUGUAUCAAUUAAUAAAUAUAUUAUUUCACUUUUUUGAAAUAAUUAU